rnacentral:misc_RNA from 1 species
GCCUGGUGAGCCUUGAGCCUCAAGUACGCCUUUAAUAACUAUUAUCAGAUGGACAGACUAAAAGGGUGAAUCAAUGUAUUGAAAACUAUUUGAUAUGUAUGGUUCACUUGAAGCCUUCUACUUGGGUUGAUUUGUUACCUUUGCCAGAGUGGCGGUACAACUCUUCCUUCCAUAGUGCCAUCAAGAUGUCCCUUUGAGGGACUAUAUGAUUAUGCACCGCAUUUUUUGUUUUUGUCUCCCCUUGAAAGUGUGAAUAUAGGAACUAUAUAGGACUAUAAGCAUGACAAACAAUAGAUGUGUUCUCUUCUUAAGACAAAUCUACAAUAGGCCUAGAAUAGGAUGAAGUAGUAGGCUAACAAGGGCAGAUCUAAAAGGGAAUUCUCUGUGGGGGACUGGGUACAUUUGAGGUUACAACCUUAUAGGCAAAAAUCAUUAGCACUUGGCCAGAAUUUGAAACUAUCUACUACGCACUAUGGGCCAUUUCUAGCGCUUGCUAAGGUGGGAAAGGUGGCUUACAAGUUGAAAUUACCUUCUUCUUCUACUAUACAUCCUGUUUUCCAUGUCUUCAUGCUUAAGAAGGUAGGAGAAGGAAUUACUCCAGUCUCUAAUUUGCCUAUAUUGCAAGAAAACUAGUUUGUAGUCUUUCUUGAGAAGUGGUUGCAAACUAGAGUAAUUAAUAAGGGGAUCAGAAGAUGGAGCACGGCCUUAUGAAGUGGUACCACUUACCUGAAGAAGAUGCCACUUGGGAAGACAGAAGCUUCAUUACUAACCAAUUUCCAGAUUCUCCACUUUCUUGGGGACAAGAAAGU